UACGUAGGGUGCAAGCGUUGUCCGGAAUUAUUGGGCGUAAAGAGCUCGUAGGCGGCUUGUCGCGUCGACCGUGAAAACUCGCAGCUCAACUGCGAGCCUGCGGUCGAUACGGGCAGGCUAGAGUUCGGUAGGGGAGACUGGAAUUCCUGGUGUAGCGGUGAAAUGCGCAGAUAUCAGGAGGAACACCGAUGGCGAAGGCAGGUCUCUGGGCAUUAACUGACGCUGAGGAGCGAAAGCAUGGGGAGCGAACAGG
rnacentral:rRNA from 1 species